UACAACGGGAUACCCGAGGGAAACUUCGGUUAAUACGGUAUAAGACCACACUACCGCAUGGUAGAGGGGUAAAAGGGGCAACCUGGUAUGAGAUGGACUCGCGUCGCAUUAGCUAGUUGGUGAGGUAACGGCCCACCAAGGCGAUGAUGCGUAGCCGACCUGAGAGGGUGAUCGGCCACAUUGGGACUGAGAUACGGCCCAGACUCCUACGGGAGGCAGCAGUGGGGAAUAUUGGGCAAUGGAGGAAACUCUGACCCAGCAAUGCCGCGUGAAUGAAGAAGGUCUUCGGAUUGUAAAGUUCUUUAGUCAGGGAAGAAGUCAAUGACGGUACCUGAAGAAUAAGCUCCGGCUAACUACGUGCCAGCAGCCGCGGUAAUACGUAGGGAGCAAGCGUUGUUCGGAAUGACUGGGCGUAAAGGGUGCGUAGGCGGUUGUACAAGUUAGAAGUGAAAUACCCAGGGCUUAACUCGGGUGCUGCUUCUAAAACUGUAUGACUUGAGUGCAGUAGAGGUUAGUGGAAUUCCUAGUGUAGCGGUGGAAUGCGUAGAUAUUAGGAGGAACACCAGAGGCGAAGGCGGCUAACUGGACUGCAACUGACGCUGAGGCACGAAAGUGUGGGGAGCAAACAGGAUUAGAUACCCUGGUAGUCCACACUGUAAACGAUGGAUACUAGAUGUAGGAGGUAUCGACUCCUUCUGCGUCGCAGU
rnacentral:rRNA from 1 species